UGAGGAAUAUUGGACAAUGGGGGCAACCCUGAUCCAGCCAUGCCGCGUGCAGGAAGACGGCCCUAUGGGUUGUAAACUGCUUUUGUACGGGAAGAAUCGUUCCGACGUGUCGGAAUUUGACGGUACCGUAAGAAUAAGGAUCGGCUAACUCCGUGCCAGCAGCCGCGGUAAUACGGAGGAUCCAAGCGUUAUCCGGAAUCAUUGGGUUUAAAGGGUCCGUAGGCGGAGAGGUAAGUCAGUGGUGAAAGUCGGUAGCUCAACUAUCGAAUUGCCAUUGAAACUGUCUUUCUUGAGUUAUUGUGAAGUGGUUGGAAUAUGUGGUGUAGCGGUGAAAUGCAUAGAUAUCACAUAGAACACCGAUUGCGAAGGCAGGCCACUAACAAUACACUGACGCUGAUGGACGAAAGCGUGGGUAGCGAACAGG
rnacentral:rRNA from 1 species